AAAUCACAAACCUGGGAGAUAGGGUGUGAUUUUUGUCCAAGGAAACUGAGAAAGGGGGAGGGACGAUUUUUGUUGGUGAAUUACUAGCUCUAGGGUUUUACCCUUAGAAAUCUAUUUAUAGGCUUUAGGUAAAAUCACAGAUGGAUACAAACUCUAGGGUUUAUCCUUAUCUGAAUAAAAUCUGCCAUAUCCCUUACCAGCGAUAUCCAAAACCAUCCCCACCCUCUAUCCCGAGGGUUCUAGAAUAUUACAAUUAAUCAAGUUGAUUAAUUAAUAUUAAGCCCUUUAAUUAAUUACCAAAAUAAUUUCUAAUUAAUUUAUUUAUUCCUUAAUAAAUUAACAUAUUAUAUAUCUCCUUUUCCUGUUAUUUGGGUCAUGAGGCCAACCCAAAAGGACCAUGUUAUUAUUAGAAAUAUUACCACAACAGUUAAUGAUCUUGGACACCAUUUCCAAUAGUCUCCUAUUUGUGAAGGUCGUCAACUUUUUGGGAUCAAAUAUUUCACUAACAAUCAAAAGAGAAUGGUCAUCUAUUGCAACUACCAAACUCUAAUAAGAAUAAAAAAAAUUGGUCCUUAGUGACCAAUUAUUUCCUUUGUUCUAGAUAUCUCUAUGAGCAUGAGUAAAUCUCAAAGUCCAACAUUCUAUUUCCCGAUGUACAAUCCCAAGUUUCGAGUCCAAAAAUUUCAUUUUAAUUAACUGAGUAUAAAAACAUUCAUAAGAAAACUAUGUAAAAAUAUAUCAUUUCAUAAAUCAACAUAUCAUGUCUGAAAACCCAAAUCAAACAUGUCAGAGUACAAUCCCAGAAUAUCUCAGGUGUAGAAAAUCAAUGCGUGUGUAUGAUGUGCUACUACCGCGCCAGAUCCUUCCCCUUCGAUGAAGAGGUACUUGAAACCAAAACUGUAAACUGUAAGCACGAAGCUUAGUGAGUUCCCCAAUCGUACCACAUACCAUACAAUCACAUAGCAUACAUACUGCCGGACAAUUUUGGGGUGCCCGACCUACCCGGUACGACCAUUCUGGGGUGCCAACCUACCCGGUACGACCAUUCUGGGGUGCCGACCUACCCAUGUCAAACCAUUAUGGGGCGCUGACCUACCCGUGUCAAGCCAUUCUGGGGUGCUGACCUACCCGUCGGUCCUAACAACCGACCCUCGGGGACUAUUCCACCCCCUAUUGCUACUAUCACAUAUAUCAUAACAUCGACAUACUAUCAGACAUAUAUGGAGUGUCCGAACUACCCAUUGGUCCUAACAACCAAACUUGGGGACUAUUCCCUUCCUACUACCACUAUCACAUAUAACAUAUAAUGUGAGCAUAUAAAGAUAUCAUCACAUACUGUCAUACAUAUCUGGGGUGCUUGAUCUACCCUUCGGUCCUAACAACCGAACUUUGCUACUGUCACAUAUAACAUAUCAUGCCAGCAUAUAACAUAUCAGGUAGUAUCAAACCUAGAUGAUCAUCUAACAUACAACUCCUACUGGUGGGCCGACAUUGUGGCCAUAGACCCACCGCUACUAAAAGGUAACUCACCUUGAACGAGUAGCUGUUGAUAAUCUAUGCGGGAAAUCUCUGUCUGCUGCUGCUCCGGAAAUCCUCCGGCUAUAAUCCCCAAAAAGCACUUAGUCAGAGUUUGAUAUCUAUUCUUAGGGUAAAAUGACCAUUUUACCCCUCACCAAGUCCAAGUCAAAGUCAAAGUCAACUUCCAGUUGACCCGACUCGCCGAGUUGGGCCGCCAACUCGUCGAGUCCCUAUCCUUUCAUCUGUCCUUCUUCACGCCUCUACUCGUCGAGUUUGGCAACGACCCGACAAGUUCUCCUUCUAAAACAACCCCGAAUUAACCUUCAUCCGAAUCGCCGAGUUGUAUGAACAACUCGUCGAGUUCAUCUCCAUCCUAUGAAUAAGUCCUAUCCUCGACUCGCCGAGUUGUAUGAACAACUCACCGAAUUCAUCUUCAAGAGUUGGGAGGUUGCCUUGAACUCGCCGAGUCUGCUCAUGCACUUGCCGAGUCCUAUGAACUCCAGGACUAUGGCUUAUCCCAAUACGUUGGGUCACUCCCCCCGGAUCCUCUAAAACCUUUCCAGCACUCCACUGGGUCUCUUUGACCCAUAACAGAAAAAGGGACUCUAACCUCGGACUCGCCGAGUCCCAAGAAUGACUCGCCGAGUCGAUAUAGUCCAAGUCUAUUUCUUCGAUUUCUGGUGUACAACUCUUGUCCAAAUGAUAGAUCUAGGUCCCUUAACUCGAUCUAGCACGUAAAGUUAUGAAAUUUACGUGCAUGCAUGGGACUUUGAGCCUAAAAGGCUCUAAAAAGACUCUUAAGUUGCAUGGGGGCUUCCAUGGGUGCAAAAGCAGCCCUUUUCUGCCUUGUAACUCCUUCAUGGACCUAGAUCCGAAGCCUCAACCCCCAACCAUGCUUGCAAUCAUGGUUGGUUACCAAAAAUGGCUUAUAAAAGCCCUAAAUCUCCCCAAAAAGGGAUCUAACAAAUGAACAAGCAAGGUAUCGACUUUAUACCUUCUGGGAACUACAAAUUAUGCACAAACUUGAACUCUCUUGGUCUUCUCUUGAUUCCUCUAGGCUUUUCCUUCUUCUUUGAGUUCAAAAUCACCAAAAAGCACCACAAAUGCCUUAGCUCUUUACACAAACGGUUAGGAUUUGCUAUGGGGGGUUUCUGGAAGCAAUAGGGACGAAGGGUGGCUGGAUGGGAUGCUUAAAUAGGGUGCAAACCCUUAGAUUAGGGUUUGUCCAGUCAGAGUCUACUCGUCGAGUCUGGAAGCCGACUCGCCGAGUCCGUCAUUUAAAUCUCGUAUCAAAUCCGCUUCUACUCGACGAGUUGGGCCUUCAACUCGCCGAGUCCCAUGCCAAAAAUGCAAAAUACUUAAAUAAAAUACAUAACAGGAGCCAGGUGCUAAAAAUCUCCCCCACUUAUUUUAGACUUCGUCCUCGAAGUUUGCUGCUCGUUCCUGGAAACGUUCAGGGUAAUGCUCCAUCAUCUCAUCCACCGGCUCGCAAGUCCACUUUGAGCCCUUCCGGUGCUGCCAUUGCACCUUCACCAGCUCGACCCUCUUGUUUCUCAGAUACUUCGACUUCCAGUCAAGGAUCAGCAUAGGCCGUUCAAUGUAAUUCAGGCUAUCAUCGACCUAAAUAUCCUCUAAGGGCACCACUAUUGAGUCGUCCGCUAGGCACUUCCGCAGCUGGGAGACAUGGAAAAUGUUGUGGAUUUGACUGAGUUCGGCUGGCAGAUCUAGCAUGUACGCCACCUUGCCCACCUGGGCUAAAACCCUGAACGGUCCAAUGUACCUGGGGCCCAACUUGCCCCGUUUCCUGAAUCGGAUGAUGCCCUUCCAUGGUGACACCUUCAGGAGAACCAUAUCCCCGACCUGGAACUCCAGGUCUGAUUGUCGCUUGUCGGCAUAACUUUUCCGCCGACUUUGAGCAGUCUGAAGCCUGCUUCGGACCUGCUAAAUCCUCUCUGUCGUCUUGAGCACCACUUCAGUGCUCCCCAUGACCCUCUGGCCAACCUCACCCCAACAUAUCGGGGUCCUGCACUUCCUCCCGUAUAACAUCUCGAAAGGGAGGAUGGUCAAUACUCGUAUGGUGGUUGUUGUUAUACCAGAACACAUCCAAUGGGAGGUAAGUAUCCCAACUACCACUAAAGUCUAACACACACGCCCACAGCAUAUCUUCCAGGGUCUGGAUGGUCCGCUCACUUUGACCAUCUAUCUGCGGGUGAAAUGCAGUGCUAAAGUGCAGACGAGUACCCAACUCGUCAUGGUAAUAUCUUCCCACUUCCAAAGGGGAAUAUCCAACGGCUGCAUCUUGUCGUGUGGCCUCUGGUGCUCGGCCUUGACCUUCCUGCAGGUCAAGUAUCGCUCCACAUACCAUGCUACACCCCGCUUCAUGCAGGGCCACCAAUAGUCUAGACAAAGAUCCCUAUACAUCUAUGUCGCCCCGGGAGUGAUAGAAAACCUGGACUUGUGCGCCUCCUCCAACAAUGUCUGAUGCAUGCCUCCAUGAUAGGGGACCCACACCCUAUGGUGAAGAGUCAACAAUACUCGGCUAUCAUAGUCGAAGGAGGAAACCUGACCCACAAUACGCCCACUCUUCCGAUGUUCCUCCUUCAUAGCCUCCUGAUGGGCCUCUCGGAUCUGCUCCAGCAACGGAGCCACCACGGUCAUCCGUAUGCAGAUAUCCCAGAUCGGUGCUGCCUUGCGGCUAGCGUGUCUGCCACCACAUUGGCCUUCCCCGGGUGGUAAAGGAUCUCGCAAUCAUAAUCCUUCACUACGUCCAACCACCGACGCUGCCUCAUGUUCAGAUUCGGCUGAUCUGUGAGGUACCUCAAACUCUUGUGGUUCGUGUAAAUGGUAUAACGGUCCCCAUAAAGGUAAUAACGCCAAAUCUUGAGGGCGAACACAACAGCCCUCAACUCCAAAUUAUGCGUCAGAUAGUUCGCCUCGUGAGGCUUCAGAUGCCUUGAAGUGUAGGCGAUGGCAUGCCCUCUCUGCAUCAAUACAACGCCCAAACCCGAAAUAGACACGUCACAGUACACAACAUAAUCCUCUACGCCCUCUGGCAGGGCUAAGAUCGGCACCUCGCACAAUCUCUGUUUCAAUGUCUCAAACGUUGCCUACCGCUCAGGCCCCCAAUGAAAGACUACGGUUUUCUUCGUCGGCCGCGUCAAGGGUACGACUAUCUUGGAGAAAUCCUGGAUGAAUCUCCGAUAGUAGCCGGCUAAUCCCAGGAAACUCCGAAUCUCAGAUGGAGACUUCGGAACCUCCCAUCUCAUCACGGCCUCCACCUUGGCCGGGUCGACCAGAAUGUCGUUCUGGUUAACAAGGUUCCCAUGAAACUGCACCUCGCGCAACCAGAACUCACACUUGGAGAACUUGACGUACAAGCUCUCCCUCCUCAGGGUAUCCAAAACCUCUCACAAAUGCUCCUCAUGCUACUCCUAUGUCUUGGAAUAAACCAAGAUGUCAUCGAUGAAAACUAUCACAGACCGAUCCAACAUCGGUCUGCACACGUGGUUCAUGAGAUCCAUGAACGCGGCAGGAGCAUUGGUGAGCCCGAAAGGCAUCAUCACGAACUUAUAAUGGUCAUAGCGUGUCCGGAACGCAGUCUUCUGUACAUCCUCCUCUAUGACCCUCAUCUGAUGAUAUCCUGAAUGCAGAUCAAUCUUAGAGAACCAAGAUGCUCCCUGCAGUUGGUCAAAGAAGUCAUCAAUCCUCGGAAGUGGGUAACGGUUCUUCAUCGUUACCUUGUUCAACUCCCGAUAGUCUAUACACAUCCGAUGCGACUUGUCCUUCUUCUUCACAAACAGAAUCAGGGCUCCCCAAGGCGAGCUACUCGGUCUGAUGAAUCCCUUGUCUAGCAGCUCCUGCAGCUGCGUAGAUAACUCUUAUAUCUCGGGGGGAGCCAACCGAUAUGGUGCCUUGGCUAUCAAAUCCGCACCAGGGACUAGGUCGAUCCUGAACUCCACCUGCCUCUCUAGAGGUAUCCCAGGAAACUCCUUAGGGAAUACAUCCGCAAACUCUCAUACCACGGGCACAUCGCCCAUUGUCACCUUACCCGUUUCUCGGGUAUCCAUAACAUACGCGACGUACCCGACACAACCCUGUUGUAGGUAGCGUCUAGCCCUUGUUGCUGAAUACACUGUGGGUCCACGAUGUGGUCUCUCACCGUGGAUCACCAAAUCUCCCCCACCUGGGGUCCUGACUCACACUAGCUAUUGUGCACAAUCUAUCACCUCCCCAUUAGGGCCCAACCAGUCCAUGCCUAUAACCACCUUGUUCCCACACAAUGGAAUGGGAACCAAGUCUACCAGGUAACGCUCCUCGAAUAACCUCAGCACAUAAUCUCGGAAAACUGUUGAUGUUCGCACCGAUCGAUCAUCGGCAAUCUCUACCUCUAAAGGGCAAUCCAACAUGCCCAAAGACUCAGAAAACCUCUUGCUGAGCGCAAGAGAAAUAAAAGAUCGAGUGACACCUGAAUCAAACAACACCUGUACCGGAAUACUGUUCACAUGGAACAAUCCUAAACAUGUAUAUACAGAGCAUAUAUCAAUAUCAUAAACAUCAUAUAAAUAGAUCAGAGGGGAAUAAUCAUACCCAUCACCACAUUGGGUGCGGCGCAUGCCUUCUCGGUAGUCAACUGGAAGGCCCGACUCCUCACCACUGGAGCCUCUGCCUUGCCCUGCCGGCCAUCAGUAAUUUGUAGGGUCGCUGGAGCCGGCUCCUUCACUGGUGUUGUUGCUAUCAUCUGGGGGCAAUUGGCCUUCUUAUGGCCCCUCUGGUUGUAGUGAAAACACAGCAACUCGGAUGUCUGAAUAGUGGGUGCAGGGGCGGUACAAUCCCUGCUGAAGUGCCCCAUCUUGCCGCACUUGUAGCAGCCCGACGAUCCCAACCUACAUGCUCCCUUGUGCGGCCUGUCACAUUUCCUGCAACGGCCCUGUCCUGACUGGCCUUUCGGCCUACCAUCUGAUCCCUUGGGCUUCUUCCCCGAAGCCCCAGUCGUUUGCCCUUCCUCUACCUUCCUCUUCUGGAUAUGCUCCGGAUCAAUCUCCCUCUCCCUUGCCCUGGCAAUCAUGGAAUCCAAGGUAGGGCAAGCUGAAAAACUAACAUGCUCCCAAAUAUCAGCUCAUAACAUGUCAUGGUAGCGGGUCCUCCUCAUGUCCUCAUCUCCCACAUACUAGGACACCAAUAAUGCCCUCUCCCGGAACUUGGCGGUGAUCUCCCCCACUGUCUCAGUCGUCUGUCUAAUAUCCAGGAACUCCCUGGCCAACUGCUGAAGCUCCACCGUAGGUGCGAACUCAGCCCUAAACCAGGUCACAAAAUCCAGCCAUGUCAUAACCUCAACAGCCGAGGCUCCUAGAGAGUCACCAACCGACUCCCACCAAUCUUUGGCCCUGUCUCUUAAGCACAUUGUUGCAUAUCUCACCUUCGACCCCUCGAGGCAGAAGUUGGUCAACUGUACAGACUCAACUGCUAGCCCGAACCCGAUCCCUCUUCUGAGCUGCCAACUGCUAGCCUCGGACGUAGUACCACCAUUCUGUAAUACAUAAUGACAACCGUCAGUGAUACUGAUACAUCUAGAGGGAUCACAUCCAUCACAAGUUCCCUGGUCUUGCCUCAGCCUUCCUCGAUUCAAGUACAGAUCCUCUGCUUUCAGUAGUACGGGCCCAUACUACCUUCCACAUCUAUCCGUACUUUCCUCAAGAACUGCCUUGACUCCACCAAGUCCCUUUUACUACUACUGAUCUCUGCUAUUCCCAUCCUAGGCUCGCCCUAGGGUACCUCUGACUCCACCCUAACCAGUCCUCAGUUGCUGAAGGCCUCUUUGUAAUGCCAAUUAGCCAUUACCUGAAUACAAUCACAUGCAACGAGGCCCGAAUAAUCCUUCGAGUAAGGGACUCAUCUCUACAACGGUUAGGACUCAAACAAGAGCUGUGAAAUAUGGUCAAAUCCAAUCCUCUAAGAUUAUCCAACCCUGAUCACACGUGACUUUAAUGUAUUCACCUAAUAGCUAAUUCCUAUCACUCAGAGUCCCACAAAGCACAAAGCAAGCAACAUUCAGACAAAAGGGAACGAUCUCAAGCAAACUUAUCCUCAUAACAAGAAACUGUACUAGCAUACAAUGCUAAGCUCAUACUAUAAGGCAUAACCUAAACAGGCUAUCCUACUACUGUCUACUCAAUACUAGCAUGCAAUUCUCAUAAGUUGAAACACAUAAAGUAGGCAUAUAAGGCAUCAUUCCUAGAUCCUUAGUCCUAUUCUAGCAUGUUGUUCUACUAAAGCUGAUAAACAUAACAUAAACUUGUAUGGGUACUUUGGGGAAUACUUACUUGAGCUCGGCCGGUCACGCACAUCACACAAUUCGUUAUUUCUCAAAACUCCUUUAACUUAUCUUUUAGAAAACCAUUUUCUUGUAAAAGCUUUUAAUCCCUCGAUUUGAGUCCGGACACCCCCGAGGGUGUGUCCGAAUCCCUCAAACCAAGGCUCUGAUACUAAAUUUUAACAUCCCAAGUUUCAAGUCCAAAAAUUUCAUUUUAAUUAACUGAGUAUAAAAACAUUCAUAAGAAAACUACAUAAAAAUAUAUCAUUUCGUAAAUCAACAUAUCAUGUCUGAAAACCCAAAUCAUAAAGUAGCAACAUGUCAGAGUACAAUCCCAGAAUAUCUCAAGUGCGGAAAAUCAAUGUGUGUAUGAUGUGCUGCUACCACGCCAGCUCCUUCCCCUUCGAUGAAGAGGUACCUAAAACCAAAACUGUAAACUAUAAGCACGAUGCUUAGUGAGUUCCCCCAUCGUACCAUAUACCAUACAAUCACAUAGCAUACAUACUGUCGGGCAAUUCUUGGGUGCCCGACCUACCCGGUACGACCAUUCUGGGGUGCCGACCUACCCAUGUCAAGCCAUUCUGGGGUGCUGACCUACCCGUCGGUCCUAACAACCGACCCUCAGGGGCUAUUCCACCCCCUAUUAAUACUAUCACAUAUAUCAUAACAUCGACAUACUAUCAGACAUAUAUGGGGUGUCCGAACUACCCAUCGGUCCUAACAAACGAACUUGGGGACUAUUUCCUUCCUACUACCACUAUCACAUAUAACAUAUCAUGCCAGCGUAUAAACAUAUCAUCACAUACUGUCAUACAUAUCUGGGAUGCCUGAUCUACCCUUCGGUCCUAACAACCGAACUCUACUACUGUCACAUAUAGCAUAUCAAGCCAGCAUAUAACAUAUCAGGUAGUAGCAAACCUAGAUGAUAUCACAAAGACGAUCAUCUAACAUACAAAUCCUACUGGUGGGACGGCAUUGUGGCCGUAGACCCACCGCUACUGGAAGGUAACUCACCUUGAACGAGUAGUUGUUGAUAAUCUGCGCGGGAAAUCUCUGUCUGUUGCUGCUCCGGAAAUCCUUUGGCUACAAUCCCCACAAAACACUUAGUCAGAGUCUGAUAUCUAUUCUUAAAGUAAAAUGACCAUUUUACCUGUAACAUCCCAAAAUUCAGGUAAAGCUAUUUAACCCUUCUCCUUUUCCCAAGUUGUCAAGUUAAGCCCCUUAAAUAAAAUGUUAGGCUAGUGAGUACGUUGGGCGUACUGAGGAGUACGCUGCGUGUAACGCUCGUAGAUCCGGGAUAGUCAAUUUAGAGACGAUAAGCAUCAAAAAUGACUUUUAGAUGGAAGAUUAUUUAUAAGGAUUAAUCUUAACCAAGUUGUAGUAUAUGUCACAAGGUUUCCAUGCAUAUAAAGAACGCCAAAAUUUGAGUUAUGACGAGGAAGUUAUGACCUGUCGAAGUUUCGCGACAGAACCGGUACGACCUAGCGCGACGUAAAUAGUGAAUUUAAGGUAGAUAGAUAUCUAUCCUUAGUAAUCUAAACGAGAGUCAAAGAUGUCUUCGAUAGUAGUCCAACGAUAAAAAGGCAGACAAAAACGGAGUUCAGAUGAAGGAGUUAUGAAUUUCGAACGGAGUUUUCCUGCCCCGGCCUACUAAAGAUAAUAUAUAAGUAAUAUAUUUAUAAUAUAUUAAAAAUAAAUUCAAAAUUAACCAAUGGAUUCUAAAAGAGAGUUGUAGAGCAUAAUCUCACCUACGCGUUGAUAUAAAGAACGUCGAAAACGGAGUUCGUAUGCGAAAGUUAUGAAUUUCUGAAGUUCGGGGCGCGAAACCCCAAAACUGUCAGAUACCACGAUGUGGCAAGUCUUCUGACACCACCGGGAGUCCCCCAGAUGCAACUUGCGAUGAUGCAUGCAGUGACGACCAAGCCCACGACGUGGAAAAAGGUGCCAUGACUUGGCAAGGGCCAGUUUUGCCCUAUAAAUAGAUUUGAAGGGCCAGCCGAGUUUGGUUGCUCAUUCUCUCAUCUCUCACCUAUAUUGCAUCGAUUUACGUGCAAAGAAGUACCCCCGAAGCCCCGGUAUCAACCCCGAGACCCGAAGCAAGUCCCGAAGUCCGAAGAUCCCGAAAAGAAAAGAGUUUCCGAGCCGAAGCUCUGCCCAGGAGAAACCCGGUGUGUGAAGUGAUCCCGGUUUCACCAAANNNNNNNNNNNNNNNNNNNNNNNNNNNNNNNNNNNNNNNNNNNNNNNNNNNNNNNNNNNNNNNNNNNNNNNNNNNNNNNNNNNNNNNNNNNNNNNNNNNNNNNNNNNNNNNNNNNNNNNNNNNNNNNNNNNNNNNNNNNNNNNNNNNNNNNNNNNNNNNNNNNNNNNNNNNNNNNNNNNNNNNNNNNNNNNNNNNNNNNNNNNNNNNNNNNNNNNNNNNNNNNNNNNNNNNNNNNNNNNNNNNNNNNNNNNNNNNNNNNNNNNNNNNNNNNNNNNNNNNNNNNNNNNNNNNNNNNNNNNNNNNNNNNNNNNNNNNNNNNNNNNNNNNNNNNNNNNNNNNNNNNNNNNNNNNNNNNNNNNNNNNNNNNNNNNNNNNNNNNNNNNNNNNNNNNNNNNNNNNNNNNNNNNNNNNNNNNNNNNNNNNNNNNNNNNNNNNNNNNNNNNUGAGUAGGGAUCAAAUCAAGAGGUCAGUUUAGAUCCGUGAGUAGGGAUCAGAUUUAGAGGUUAGUUUUAGAUCCGUGAGUAUGGAUCAGGUAAAGAGAUAAACUUGCUAUUAGUCCGGGAGUAUGGAUUAAGACUAAGUUAAUUGUCCCUAGUCCGGGAGUAUGGAUUGGGCACAGUUAUAGAUCCGGGAGUAUGGAUCAGAUCAGGAUUAGGGUAUAGUUAAUUGUCCCUAUUCCGGGAGUAUGGAAUGGGUACAAUUAUUGAUCCGGGAGUAUGGAUCAGAUCAGGAGGUUAGUUUUAGAUCCGUGAGUAUGGAUCAGGUAGUUUUAGAUCCGUGAGUAUGGAUCAGGUGAAAAGGUAGUUUUAGAUCCGUGAGUAUGGAUCAGGGGAAAAGGUUAGUUUUAGAUCCGUGAGUAUGGAUCGGGUGAAAAGGUUAGUUUUAGAUCCGUGAGUAGGGAUCAGGUAAAGAGGAAAACUUUAGAUACAAGAGUUUAGAUCGUGUCGUUGUGAGGAUCGAUGGGGUGGGAUAAGAGUUGCCUUUAUAUGGUGAAAAUGUACAAGUUUGAAUGUUCUAUACUUAUAAAUAUAUGAUAUAACAUUGUGGGAUGAAAACCCUAUAUGCUCACUAGGCACCCAAGCCUGACCCACUCAGUUUUCUUUGUAUCACAAGUAUCGAUACGAAGACAUAUUUCACGGUGAGAUUUAAAGGAGAUAUAAAUCAUUAGUGUAAUUAAAUGUAAGUUCUGUUUAUGCUUAUAUGUCUGUAUCGGAACAUGACAUCCCGAGGUUUUAUUAUUAAAUGAAAAUACAUUUUCUUUGAGAAAUGUUUUGAUAGGUUAUUAUCAUAUCUUGUUUUAGGAACAAAUUCCACAACCGUUUUCUAUAAAAGAUUACUCUGAUUUAAAAAAAAAACAAAGCAUAAACAAAUCGGUCUUUUCUGGUCGUGAAAUUGGGGAUGUCACACUGCGCGUACUCGCACGCUUAAUUUGGACGCGGACUCACCUGGGUACGCUGGGUGUAUCCAGGGUUACGUUGGGCGUAGCAAGCCCAGGUGUCAACCCUAAUUUGGGGCUUGUGCAUUAUAAAAGGAAUGUUAUGGCCUUGACCUCAGCCUCCAUUCCAGAGAGUGAAACCCUAAUAGAGAGUCCUCCUUCAUAUCUAGCUAGUGUGUUGGUGUUCUAAGCUUCUAAGUGUCAUUUUAUGGUGGUGGAAGAAAAGAAGAGGCCAUUUUGGAAGCUAGAAGUUUGUGGGAAAGAGUAGAUCCAAGCUUUUCAGAGGUUGGAGCUUCUUCCUGAGGUAAAAAGCUUAAAACUUGCCUUGUCAUUUGUGUUGUGUGCUUCUUGGACCAAUUUCUAGGGUUUUUGGUCCCAAGAUGGAGACUUUAUGAUUAAGUGGUCUCCAUUAGCCUAGAUCUAUCAUAUUUCAGGACUAUAAGAGUUGAAUGUUCAUAAAAAUGCAAUCUUGGACGUAAAUAUUGAGCUAUGCANNNNNNNNNNNNNNNNNNNNNNNNNNNNNNNNNNNNNNNNNNNNNNNNNNNNNNNNNNNNNNNNNNNNNNNNNNNNNNNNNNNNNNNNNNNNNNNNNNNNUGUGGGCAAGGCCCGUAACUCCUAGCUGAACAUUUGUUGUUAUAUAUAUGCAUGGUAUGGGGUAUUAUGGGGGAAUUCACUAAGCUUUGUGGUUACAGUUUUCAGUUUUGGUUUCAGGUACCUCCUCAGCGAGGGGAAAGGAGCCGGCGCNUACUUGUAUGUUAUGGGUUAGCGGUUGAGUGUGGGCAGGGCCCGUAUCUCUCCGAGGUUGGAGUGUGGGCUAGGCCCGUAUCUCCCAGAUGGCGAAGUGUGGGCAGGGCCCGUAUCUUCUCAAGCGUGGGCGAGGCCCGUACCUCCCGGCUAGCAAAGUGUGGGCAGGGCCCGUAUCUUCCCGAGUGUGGGCAAGGCCCGUAACUCCUAGCUGAACAUUUGUUGUUAUAUAUAUGCAUGGUAUGGGGUAUUAUGGGGGAAUUCACUAAGCUUUGUGGUUACAGUUUUCAGUUUUGGUUUCAGGUACCUCCUCAGCGAGGGGAAAGGAGCCGGCGCGGUAGCAGCAUGUCACACACACACACUCUCCGGUUUCCGCAUUUAUGAGAUUUCCUGGGAUUUAUACUCUGAUAUUAUGAUGAUUGUAUGGUUUGAUUCUUAGACAUGGCUUACGUUUAUGUUAUGGUUUGACCAAUUAAUGUUUUUAACAAUUAAUGUUUCUCUAAAGUAAUGUUUUUAAAAUGAAAUUUUUGGACGUGAAAUUUGGGUCGUUACAUAAAGUUAUGAAAUUUACGUGCAUGCAUGGGACUUUGAGCCUAAAAGGCUCUAAAAAAACUCUUAAGUUGCAUGGGGGCUUCCAUGGGUGCAAAAGCAGCCCUUUUCUGCCUUGUAACUCCUUCAUGGACCUAGAUCUGAAGCCUCAACCCCCAACCAUGCUUGCAAUCAUGGUUGGUUACCAAAAAUGGCUUAUAAAAGCCCUAAAUCUCCCCUAAAAGGGAUCUAACAAAUGAACAAGAAAUGUAUCGACUUUAUACCUUCUGGGAACUGUAAAUGAUGCACAAACUUGAACUCCCUUGGUCUUCUCUUGAUUCCCCUAGGCUUUUCCUUCUUUGAGUUCAAAAUCACCAAAAAGCACCACAAAUGCCUUAGCUCUUUACACAAACGGUUAGGGUUUGCUAUGGGGGGUUUCUGGAAGCAAUAGGGACGAAGGUUGGCUGGAUGAGAUGCUUAAAUAGGGUGUAAACCCUUAGAUUAGGGUUUGUCCAUUCAGAGUCUACUCGUCGAGUCUAGAAGCCGACUCGACGAGUCCACCAUUUAAAUCCCGUAUCAAAUCCGCUUCUACUCGACGAUUUGGGCCUUCAACUCGCCGAGUCCCAGGCCAAAAAUGCAAAAUACUUAAAUAAAAUGCAUGCUAGGAACCAGGUGCUACACCCAAUUAACUAUUUUUGACGUUACAUCUAACUACUAAAUCAAACACAUCAAUUUAGUUAGGACUCGGCCAAACAUUUCAUAUGUCAACACCAAAUAUUCGAGGGGCCCAUAGAUAUCUCUUCCCAAUUACGAGAAGGAAUAAAUAAACUUUGCUUACAUAGUUUUUUCCUAUUUUAUAAUCAUACAUGGAAAUACCCUUUAUUACUACUAGUUAUGGAUAUCGUUUGAGCACACCAAUACACAACAUAUUUUGUAAACAAAACCCCAUAUGUAUCUAGGUUUGUAUAAUAAAAGAUAUUGUAGCUUAAAGUUACUCGUGACUAGAUCCAUUAAGUAAUUUCUAAGUGCGGGUUGUUCCAAUACUGAAAAUCAAUAUUUUCAAUUACUCAUGCAGCAUUAGCGCAAUCUCAAUUGCCACACCCAAAAAAACUACAAUGUCUGUUUUCCAGGUAAUAUUUUUCCAAGUUAACUAUUUUUAUUAUUAUUGAGACGGCUAUGGGUGGGCCACGACAUGGUGGCUAAGGCCUUAUGACGUGGCAAUUGUCUGAUGAAUGAUCGUGAAAUGUGACAUCCCCAUUUUCACGGCUAAUUUAAAAAUUUUAUUUAUGCUAUUUAAUUCAAAGCAUGAAACUUAUUGCAUAAUUUGUUCCCAAAACACAAUGUAUUUCCCAAGAAACUUGUUUCUUUUAUAUAUAAAAACCUUGGGAUGUCAUCAUUUGAUACAUAUACAUAACGAUAAACAUGUUUAAACAGGCCUUACAACAAUUUAUUAUACCAUGGCCUACAAACUCCUCAAAUCACUUAACAUCCUUGGGACGUUGUACAACUACUUGUGAUACAAAGAAACUGAGUGGGUCAUGCUUGGGAGCCUAGUGAGCACAUAAGAUUUUCAACCCAUAAUAAUUAAGUUCUUUAGUUAUAUAUUUUACAUCAAAUAAUUUACCCGAUUAGCCAUUCUCGUUAUUCUCACAUAUUAAUCCCAAAAUACUGAUCUCAUGGGACCUAACUAUAACAUCCGGAACCCUAAGGUAUUAAUUUAUUCAAUUAUUGCUUUCUGAGGGUCCUCACAACGUGAGGUCUUAGGGAUCACGUCGUGAGUGGCUGUUGACCCAUUGUCCUGUGUUUUGGAGCCUCACGACGUGAGACAUAAGGGUCUCACAACGUGAGUGUGUGUGACAACCCGAAUUUUUUUGCUUUAAAAGCCAAUCCAAUCAACCUUAAGUCAAACUCACUCUUGCUAACAUUUGGCAUUGUUUAGAGCCUGUUUGAAUGUUCUAAGCCCAAUACACUCAAGGAAUGAGUGCUAGGAAGUACCAGCUAGAACCACUGAACAAUGAUCAAGCCUAAAACACCAACUUCAUGAGUUCACGGCCACCACAUUGGAGUUUACGGCCGUAAAAUCCAUGUGGGCCAUAAACUCACCUCAUAUAUGCAAGUUUUGGCCAUUUCUUUCAUUUCUUUCCUUCUUUGGCUGAUUUUCCUCCAUUCUCUCUCAAGUACCAACCAACUUUCACCUUAGAUCUUCAAAAGUGUAAGUGUUAUAUCCCUUGAUUAGUUGAUACAUCUUAUUAACUAGCUUCAUACCUUGAUUUCAUCCAUGAAAAUCAUGUUUGUUUAGAUCUUCAAGAAACACCAAGAACACACACUUGUGUUCUUGGCCAAAAUCGACCCUUUCAAGCUUCUAUAUCGUGAGUACCCUUCAUUAUACUUCAUAUCUACUAGGAAGCUUUUAAUUACAUCCUUGAAAACAUGUAUUUCCCAAGAAACACCUUGAGUUUACGGCCCAAGAACAUCCUUGGUCGUAAACUCCAUGUUGAUGCAUGUUUGAGCCUUAAACUCUUCCAACAAGCAACCCAUUGACCUUGAACUCGUAAUGGAUGUUGUUAGGACCAUAAACCACUCACUUAAGCUUUAUGUCCAUGAUUUAUGGCCAUAAACUCCUUGUUUGGCAGUAAAAUCAUGUGCGUUGACCGUAAACACACUUAAGUGUGGCCACACACUUCCUUUUGAUCAAUCACAUGUGAUUGAUCCCUUCAUGUCCAAGUUCCAUAAUCCCUUAGGUUGUUUCCUUCAUGAUUAUUUGUAUUAUACACUAAUUAGACACAUAUAUGUAUCAAUAUAUGUCAUUAGGACUCAUUUGUGUACCAGGACUUCAUUUGUGGAACUACUCAACCCUUACUUGAACCAUUUGGAUCACCAAUCACAAGGUGAGUUCAUACCCCUAUAUUUUGUCACUUUUAACUGUUUUCAGGGGGGAAUACAAGUCUAAACACAAUAAAUUGUGUUUAUAAUAAAUAAUACUCUUUAAAUGUUGUAAAUGACAUCAAGUCAUCAAAAUGCUUUUAAAUGUUUGAUAAAAUCUUUUUAACUUAUGUUGUGUUUAAUUAAUGUCUAUAUGGAUAUAGUUAUACAAGUAGUGUUUAAAGGACUUAAGACUGACUACCAGCUUUAAAUCCUUUUCCUUGUUUGGAUGUGGGUGUAGAGUAAGGUUGCUUGUCCGAGUGUCGUUUAAAUACUAAUUGUAUAUCAUGUAUAUGUAUAUAGAUAUAAAAGUUCUAGAAGUCAGUUUAAUACCAUGGAUAGCAAUGGUAUUCUUUCAGUUCAGUUCAGUCAGUUAGAUAUAGAGAACUUACUAGUAACUAUAAGGAGUAUAGUUAGAGAGUCAAUGUUCAUUACUUGGUAGAUCAAUACGUUCACUUGGUAGUUCAUGGAAGUCAUAGAUGUAUAUAGAGAUAUAAUACUUGUUAGUUAUCUAUUCAGAAAGUACGAACAAUAAUACGAACUAAACUGAAAGACCCUAACUUUCGUAUUUAUGAAAGACCCAAACUUUCAUACUCGAAAAUAUAGUUACUCCAAAACAUGCUACUUGCAUAUUCAUAAAAACAAUAUUUUACAUUGAUAAAGAGAUUUCAAACUACUGGAUACAAACCAACUAUUUUAAAGUGUUAUAUAUUACAUAACUUCCCAGGAUUCUAUAGUUUUAUACAUAUGGGAGUGCAAAAUACAAUAGUUUCAAACUAUUCAUAAGCUUCUAUCGAUACAAUAGUUUCAAACUAUUCAAAAAUCUUCUACCAGUAUAUAACUAUACUGGAUGCUUAUCUCUUGCAAUUUAUUAAACAUUGAGAGGGUAAGCGGUGACACUUAGUCAGUUCAAUAAUAGAUACAAUAUAACGUUAUGCUAUAUAUAUAUAUAUAUAUAUAUAUAUAUAUAUACAUACAUACAUAUACACAUACUUCAAUAUUGCAGAAGCAAAGAGGAACAAGGAANGGCAUAUGUGAAUCAUGUGACAAACAUUCCAUAUCAAUCAUUGAUUUGAUUUAAAGAUAUACAAUCAAUGAGACAUAACAAUUUCCAUGCUUGAUAUACAUCAAUAAAGCUUUGGCCCAAACGGCACAGAAGAUAUACAACUUCGGAUUAACAUUUUGGUAGAUUUCAGGCUUAAAGCCCUGUCUAACCUUCUGCCAAUACCAUAGAAUAGAAUUCAUUCUCUUACGGAGACAUGUUCUACAUGGCCAGAGGCUACAUACCAGUACCAACGUGAAUCCAAGUCCUUUCACUAAUCACGUGGUCAAAGGUGUUUAUUUGCUAUUAAAAAUAGCAAAUAAAAAUAACCCGGAAUAAUAACAUUGAAAAGCACGAAGUACAUAUAACACAUAACAUACAAUUGUUCCUAUAUAUUAAACUCACCGUGAAAUAACCGGGGGCUAAAAUAUUAAUUUGGGCAGUACUUCGGCUCUAAAUAUGACUUUCGUCGUUGAAAACCGGGAGUUUUCUUGAAAACCGGGCUCUGCGAAGGUAGAGCUUCGAAACCGAAAAGAUAAAUUUUUCGGGCUUCUCGGGAGUCUCGGGGCGUGUUUCGGGCUUUGGAAUCAGUACCGGGGCUUCGGGGGAAGUGGAAGUAGAAGAAAUAUAAGUUUAGGGGUGAAAAGGGGCAAAUUUCAAACAUUUACCCGGGAGGUCUCGCACCCCUUGUAUAGGGCCGAGGUUUGGAUCCGAAGCAAAGGGAAGAGGGCAGGUGGCUGCGAGGCUCGGACCAGAUGACAGCAUCGGCGAGGCUCGGAUGCGAGGAGUCAUCAUCUUCAGUCGCGUCAUCGGCUGGGUCUUCGGCUCGGACGCGAGGUGGAGGCCGAUGCGAGGCGCGUCGGAUAGCCACUGGACCGCACCCUCGAUCGAAUCAGCAUGCGACACGCGAGUUGGGCAUGAGGCAAGCAUGCGAGAAUCACGUGACGACUUCGGACUCCUGUGCAACAUGCGUCGUUUCUCGGACGCUCCACGCAGCAGCUUCGUACACGUGGCCAGCAUAGAGCAAGGGUGACGUGGCUGGCACUAUUCAUGCGAAAAUUAAAUGAAAAAAAUGUGCCAAAUCUUGUAAAAUCCAUAACUUUUGCAUACGAGCUCCAUUUUUGACAUUCUUUAUAUGCACGCGUAGCUAAAAUUAUGCUCUACAACUUUCGUUUAGACUUCGCCGGCUAAUUUUGACUUUAAUUUUAAUAUUAUUAUUUUUAACAGACCGGGACAGGAAAAUCCGUUAAAAAUUCAUAACUUCUUCAUCCGACGUCCGUNUGUUUCAUCCCGUCCGUUUUCGUCAGACUUUUUACCGUUGUAUUACAAAUGACGAGACCUUCAAUUCUUGUUUAGGUUGUGUCAGCUAAAAAUCACUCGAUCUAAAAUUCGAGUUUUUAGCUGUCUAUUGCUAAGCUGAAACUUCGAAAAAUCGUAACUUCCUCAUACGAAGUCAGAUUUUGGCGUUCUUUUUAUCGAACUUCUCGGUUUAACGAAUACUACGACUUUCAUUUAGAUUACUAAGGCUAAAAAUUAGUUUAUCAAAAACUCACUUUUUACGUCACUCGGCGUCGUGCCGGUUUUAUCGCAGAUCUUCGAUUGGUCAUAACUUCUUCGUUAUAACUCGGAUUUCGAUGAGGUUUUUUCCUAAAUGUUUCUAACGAGAUUAUCUACUACUUUCAUUAAUAAAAUUUUACUUAUUUCAAAUUUUAUAUUUUCGUUAAAUUUCACUAUUUGACAUUUGAUUGGAAUCUCAUAAUACUUCCAAUACUUUCUGAAUGAUUUUAAGCAUAGUUUUACUUCAAUUCUAGUAAAAACUAUCUGUUAGAACUCAACAUUCAAAUUCACAUAAUAUUUCAUAAUAUUAUUACUUAAAACACGAUUUCAAAACUUGUAUGUUACAUAAACUCAAGGAACUCAAAAAGGUACAUCUUCCAAUGUACCAUACGUAUAAAAGGGGUACCCGGGCACGGUACCGUACCUUCAUUUAACAUGGGUAUGCGAGCAUUAUACUACGACACCAACCAUAGGUGGGUACGCGUGCAUAACACCAAUACCCAAACAUAAGACGAACAUAGGUGGGAGUUUCUGUGAUUGCCUAGUAUAUACCCAAAAGUUAUGUACAAUGAGAAACUGAUAGAUGGUUGAAUAUGUGAACUCUGUUUUGUUUUCCUUUUCCUUGUUUGGAUGUGGGGGACCGACAAGAUCGCACAAUCAAUUGUCUGUCUUUUUCUGGUUAUGUAUAAUAAGUAUGUACUAUGUGAAUCACGAGACAGUCUUUCAUAGUACUAUUCAGAAGAACAUAAUGAUAUUACUAUAGUCUUUUCAUAGUAUAUUGCUUAUACUAUGAACUGAGAUUGAACUUGCUAUUCCAAUAGCAUAAUAUCCAAUACAAGAAUGGUUUUAUGAGAUAUAAAACUAAGUAUGCUAUUCCAUAGCAUAUUUAUACAUUAAUUAAGUCGUACUUUCUUAGGGUUAUAAGUUAACUAUUCCAUAUCACAGUACGCCAUCCUUCAGUAUAACAGUUUUUUGGAUAAAACCACAGUUCAAUAACAGUUAGGGAAUAGGGGUUUUCCUAGGUUCAAUGGUAACAUUUUCUAGGUAUUCUAGUAACAAUUACUAGGAAUUCUAGUUCAUUAAAAAGGAUUCGUAAGAAGGUUAUUAUUAUGAUUUCCUCGCUUAUACAUUCCCGAGUUAUAUAUAACGAAGAUCUGGUAGACAAUAGAAUGUGAGAUUUCUAACUUAGUUUCUUUUCCUUGUUUGGAUGUGAAACUAGGGUAGAACCACACAUUUUACUAUCCUCCCAAUCUUGAUUAUAUCAUAACGUGUAUAAGCUAAGUUUUCAUGGAUAAUAACUCACCUCUUAGUCAGAAUCAAAAUAACAUAGAUUACUUUUAAUUACAACUAUAAUCCUUCAGUUUAUACGAAAGAUUAUAUGUAAUGAAGACUAGAUAGAUUAGAGAUUGUGUGAAAUCAGUUUUGCCUUCCUUUUUCCUUGUUUGGAUGUGGGGGGUACGAUCGAAUUAAACAACCAAAUAUCCAUCUCGCAUUGAUUAUAUGCAAUUAGUAUAAACUAAAUGAUUAUAGAAGAAAUUGUUUCAGUAUUACUUUACUUUUAAGGAAACAUAUGGUUUUCUUGUCAGUCUUUCAAACUUGUUCAAUUUUCAUAGAAGUUUCUCACUUUAAGCUAAAUCUUAUGCACUCACCAGCUUUAUAGCUGCUACUCACUUUCAAAAUACUUGUAUUCUCAGGAAUAUAUUAAGACAGAUAUCCAACCGGAGUUCGUGAAGACGGAGCAGUAGUUUCUCGUCUUAUCUUUUGAUACUAUUAUACUAUAACAACAUGUAAUUUUUUGAUCACGAUGUNUACUAUUAUACUAUAACAACAUGUAAUGUUUUGAACUCGAUGUAAAAAAUAUAUAUAUAUAUUAAAGAAUGUUGUUGCUUGAUUUCUAUUAUUCACUUGUUGUGAUACUACAUAUGACGUCCUCCACCCCCGAACGUUUUCGCCAUUCCGGUUCUAGGGUGUGACAGCAUGGCUAAAUGGUCCCAACCCUAAUUUUUGAGUAUUUAAGGGAAUGAGAGGGUUUCCCCAUCCUCAGCCUCUCUCACGCUCUAAGUCUUUGGAGACCCUAGUUUUCAUAUCACCUUAAGUUGUGGAGUUUUUUGCUUGUAGAAAGAAGGGAAGAAGAAGUAUCUUGGGAAGGAAGUUGUUUGGGUUCACCAUCAUCAUCAUCUUUCAUCUUUUUUUUGACCAUUGUAAGUAUCAAGACUCAAGCUCUAUUUCAUUUCAUGGCUAGAUCUAAGCUUUUGGUCCAUUUUCUUAUGAGUUAGCUUGGUUAGAGUGGAGCAAAUCCAUAAAUUUAGCAAAUGUAUGGAUUUAAAUGGACUUUUUAGUCUUAUAUGAUUCAGAUCUAGGUUUUGGGGUAGUAAUAGAGUUUCAUGAGAACUUGAGGCCAUAAUUGCACUUUUUGACCCUAAAUGAUGAAGGGAAAUGCAUUGUGCAUGCAUGUCCAUAAAAGCAAGCAUUUUUAUGGACCAUUAGAGUCCCUUUUAGCUUCUGAAGGGGUGAGGGUUGAGGGAUGAAUGGAUUAAGGCUGUUGAAAUAGCAAUUUUGGCUUCAGACCACACUCACAACGUGAGACAAAAGGGUCUCACGACGUGAGAAUGGGUCUCCAUUCCCGUUGAGUCGUCUGAGUUAGGAGCCAGAUACAUAUUUGGGAUCAGACACGUCUCACGAUGUGACCAAGGAUUAGUCACGACAUGAGGCGUUGUUUUGGGUUUUUGGGCCUUAUUGGGCCAUUAAUAUCUGUCCAUGGGCCUUACCGUGUUUGGGCCCAUUUGGGGUCUUGAGUGUCAUUCGUGAAAUCAUGUAUUGGGGGUUAGGCCCAUGAUGGGAUCUAGGCCCAUUUAGGAAGAUGGGUCGCUAGUGGGCUUUUGUGUUAUUAGACUGGGCCUUAGUUUUGGACCAAGUAAGGAGGAUGGUAAAAGGGUCUUUUACACUAAGAUUUGGGCCAGUAAAUUAGAUUUUUUAUUAUGGUUUAAGAUCCAAUUAUUAAUUGGAUAUUUAUUUGAUGAUGUCAGUGCAGGGAUUUUCUAGACCAAAAGUCUGAGAUCUUAUCUGAGUGAUUCUACAGCUGAGGUGAGUCCUCCUCACUACAUUUAGUGGGUCGAAGGCAUCAAUGCUGACUCAUGGUUAUUAUGCUAGGAUGCUAGAUGUCUGCGUGACUCUUUCAUGUGUAUGUGUUUGUAUGCUUAGUGGGUGGGGCCCAAUGGGUAAUAUGUACUCUAGUACUCGCUACACUUGUAUAUCUGUAUGUUGGGCAAGGCCGUUGUAUGAGGUAGUGUGAGGUCCAUUAUACUCAGUGGGCGGGGCCCGUUAUGCGAGUUAGGGUGAGGCCCGUUAUACUCAGUGGGCGGAGCCCGUUAUGCGAGUUAGGGUGGGGCCUGUUACACUCAUCGGGCGAGGCCCAUUAUAUGCUUGAUAUGUGGUAUUUGGGGGAAAAUUCAGUAAACUUCAUGCUUACGGUUUUCAGUUUAUGUUUCACGUACUUCUGGUGCAAAAGGGAAGAGAUCAAGGUGAUUGUAGUGCACAUACGAUAUUGUUCCGCAUUUUCAUGAUAACUGUGAUAUUUUAUGAUGUAUUGAUACAUUUGUUCCACUUGGGAUUUAUGAUAAUGUUUUGGGAUACUGUUUUUAUUAAAUUAAAAAUGAAAUUUUUGGGUCUUAUUUUUGGGAUGUUACAAGUUGGUAUCAGAGCUUUAGUUUGAGGGAUUCAGACAUACUCUCGGGUGUGUCUGAACUCGAGAAUGACCCUCCUUUUGCACCAAAAGCCCAUAAACUCACAUAAGAAGAGAUCUAAGGAAUGGAAAGCCAAGGUAGAGACUUUUUACCUCCCAUUGGGUGCCAACACGAUGUAUGUGCUGGAUCUACAAGCUUUCCCUCAUUCCAAGCCUCUAGGUCCUUAAGCCUCUUCAAGGAAUGCUCCAAAAACACGCUUUUGGCCACAUACACACACAGACACACACACUUAGCUUGCUAGGGAUACUUUAUGGACAUGAAAGGUGGUAAGGGAGGCGGGGUAAAGGACUUAAGGUCCAUUAAAUAGGCUGCACAUACGAGAAAUUAGGGUUUUGUCACACAACCUCAACUCGUCGAGUCUAUCCCUCCAGCUUGACGGUUAAGCUUCCUAACCCUCGCGUCCUGCUCAACUCCUACACGACGAGGUGGGGCCAACCAACUCGUUGAGUAGGCCCUUCAACUUGCACUAAAUCCUCAAGUACCACAUCCAAGAAAUCAAGGUGUUAAAAUUCUCCCCCACUUGAAUUAGAUUAUGCCCUCGAAAUCAGUCUUUAUCAACACACCGAUCGAAACAAAUAACCCGAGAAGUACUACCGAAAAAUCUCAUAUCAUACAACGAUCUCUUUCCCAAGACAUCCAAAACUGAAAGGAACUCCCAACCCGAAAAGAACGGACCCCCUGCCAUUGCAUUAUCAACUAUGACUCUCCAGAACUCGGAAUCUGUAGUGAUCUGUCUCCCCAAAAUACCGUCCAUGCAGAAUAUCUCCAUAACAAUCACUCAUCGAAUCUUGGACCGAUAAAACACUCCCAACUCUGAUUAUCUCAUCACGACUGAUGGGGACACGUCCUUGACCAUAAUUGGUUGUUGAUUACUCAUGUCAGACAUACUAGUCAGUCCAGAUCGUAACUUAAAAGAUACGAAGGGUCACAUCUCAAAAAGGACCAACUAUCGGUACUGAUAUUAGAACCAAUCUAAAAAAUGAGUCUCAAUAUUAUACUCUCAGACACUAGAAGAAUGACCAUGCCCGGUCGGAAGUAUCCUCUGAUCUCUACAAUCAUAAGCCCCAACUUCCUCUCAAUGUUCCUCCCAACACCGAGUACUAGGUCAAAUCCCGACCCAAGAUUUGAAUCUCCAAGGCUAACCUAGCCCAUCCGGCAAUACGACUUCACAGUCGUCCUAUCCAACCGAGUUGACUCAUCCAUUCACACUGAAAUCCACAAUCACAAAGUUCACUUUACCCCAAGAGAUUACUACAACCGAUUUGAAAUUGCACCCCACAUACAACCUUGGUCGCCUACUACUUGCUACUUCAUGCGCGUCGUGGUCCUCCUCAAUCCAACUAACCGAUUCACCCAAGUCUAAAACAUCGAAUGGGAAACACAUCCCACUUAUAAUGAAAUCCAUCUGAAAACUCUGAAAUCUCAACUUGCUUGUCCUCCACACAGAUAGACUAAAUGAGAGAAAUGACACUUAAGGUUUAUUAAUAUAUUAUAAGUUCUAAUAUAUUAAUAGUAUUAUUUAAUUGGUAUUGAUGAAGAAUUAAUUUGGUGAUCAAAAGGAGACUAAUGAAAUAUAUGGGGUUGAUUGUGUAAAUCAUCCAUUCUUUUAUAGUGGGCUAAUGAUCCAUGGUUUAUUGGAUUGGGCUAAAACCCAUAAUAUGCUCCAUGGAUAGUCCAUUGAGGUUAUAAACCCAUGGAUCAUGGAAUAUGAAAGGCCAUGUCAAUUAGGGUUUACAUUUUGUAACCCUACUUAUGAUACAACUAUAAAAGGACCACAUGUCUACCAAAAUUGGACUACUAAGAAAGAACAAGAGGGCUAGUCGAUUUUGAGUGUUAGUGAACUUCUCUCAGGGUUAUUCCAAGAGUUGUGGUGUUGUGUGAAACAUUUGAGGCAUCAAACUUGAGGUGCUAGGCUCUCAAGGUUCUCAAGGAAUCCAAGCAACAAGAAACAUAUGUUCUCCUACUAGCUUUUAUGUUUCAAAGUUCCCCAUGCCAUGCUAGUUAGGUUAAGAACCUUGGAAAAUCAAAUUUGCAUGUAUCUUAGCAAAACAUAGAUCCAAGGUUUCUAGGGUUUCAUUUACACCUUAGGAGUGUUAGAAUGCUCAAAACCCUUCACAAACCUCCUUAGAGUUUCAAGGUAUGCUCUAGUCUCAGGUACAGGUCAUGUGCUUCUAGUAGUACGGACCCAAUACUACCUUUUCACACCUACCUGUACCUUCCUCAAGGUCAAUCAUGAUUCCUCUACGUUGCCACACUAAAACCAUAUACUAAUCCUAUGUUAUACAACAUACAUAUCCUACCUUAAGCCCACAAACAAACAAGGAAUAGGAAAUAAGGUCCAAUCGAUCAUUCUCGGGCUAUAUAAUCCUAAUCGUAUACAACUUUGAAAGCGUACACUUAGCAAUUAACUGAGCCGAUAUAAAUUCCAAGUAAUAUAUAGCAUCAAGAUCCACUAAGUUAUAAGGAAUCACGUUAAUCCGACAAUUCUAUCAUAUGAUCCCUGAAGGUAUCCUUUGCCCUAAUCUAGCAUGCAAUUCUCAUAUCAAGCAUACUACUUAUAAUACAUAAGUAUGGGUAAUUUGGGAGCCACUCACUUGAGCUCGGCUGAUUGCACGCAUCGCACCCCUUCUUCUUAAUAAAAAUAUUUUUAGAAGUUUAACUUCAUUUUUCUUAAGAACAAUUAUCAUUUCCUCAUUUUGAGUUCUGACGCACCAUAAAGUGUGCCCGAAUCCCUCAAACCACGGCCCUGAUACCAAAAUAUAACGCCCCGAGAACGGUAUUGAAAAUUUUCAUUAAAAAUUCUAUCAAAUCAUUCAUUAAUUGUUCAAAACGUACAUCAAGUCAUAAUAUUCAAAACAUGAGAUUGCAAUUAUUUCAAAUGCAAAAAUCAUGAGGGUAGGAUGCUGAGCCAUCACUCCGGGCUCUUCCUUUUUAAAACGAAAGUACUUGAAACCAUAAAAAUAAACUGUAAUCAUAAAGCUUAGUGAAUUCCUCAAAAUACCACAUACCAAAAACACAUAAGUGCCAUGGGCUACCCCAUGGUCUUUCUUUGCAAUGUCGAGGGCCAAAUACCGAUCUUACAUACAAGUGUCAUGGGCUACCUCCCAUGGUCUUUCCNUCAUGGGCUACCCCAUGGUCUUUCUUUGCAAUGUCAAGGGCCAAAUACCGAUCUUACAUACAAGUGCCAUGGGCUACCUCCCAUGGUCUUUCCUUAAGCCUCUUCAAGGAAUGCUCCAAAAACACACUUUUGGCCUCAUACACACAUAGACACACACACUUAGCUUGCUAGGGAUACUUUAUGGACAUGAAAGGUGGUAAGCGAGGCGGGGUAAAGGACUUAGGGUCCAUUAAAUAGGCUGCACAUACGAGAAAUCAGGGUUUCGUCACACAACCUCAACUCGUCGAGUCUAUCCCUCCAGCUUGACAGUUAAGCUUCCUAACCCUCGCGUCUUGCUCAACUCCUACACGACGNAGGUGGGGCCAACCAACUCGUUGAGUAGGCCCUUCAACUUGCACUAAAUCCUCAAGUACCACAUCCAGGAAAUCAGGGUGCUAAAAUUCUCCCCCACUUGAAUUAGAUUUCGCACUCGAAAUCAGUCUUUAUCAGCACACCGAUCGAAACAAAUAACCCGAGAAGUACUACCGAAAAAUCUCAUAUCAUACAACGAUCUCUUUCCCAAGACAUCCAAAACUAAAAGGAACUCCCAACCCGAAAAGAACGGACCCCCUGCCAUUGCACUAUCAACUCUGACUCUCCAGAACUCGGAAUCUGUAGUGAUCUGUCUCCCCAAAAUACCGUCCAUGCAGAAUAUCUCCAUAACAAUCACUCAUCGAAUCUUGGACCGAUAAAACACUCCCAACUCUGAUUAUCUCAUCACGACUGAUGGGGACACGUCCUUGACCAUAAUUGGUUGUUGAUUACUCAUGUCAAACAUACUAGUCAGUCCAGAUCGUAACUUAAAAGGAACGGAGGGUCACAUCUCAAAAAGGACCAACCAUCGGUACUGAUAUUAGAACCAAUCUAAAAAAUGAGUCUCAAUACUAUACUCUCAGACACUAGAAGAAUGACCAUGCCCGGUCGGAACUAUCCUCUGAUCUCUACAAUCAUAAGCCCCAGCUUCCUCUCAAUGUUCCUCCCAACACCGAGUACCAGGUCAAAUCCUGACCCAACAUUUGAAUCUCCAAGGCUAACCUAGCCCAUCCGGCAAUACGACUUCACAGUCGUCCUAUCCAACCGAGUUGACUCAUCCAUUCACACUGAAAUCCACAAUCACAAAGUUCACUUUACACCAAGAGAUUACUACAACCGAUUUGAAAUUGCACCCCACAUACAACCUUGGUCGCCUACUACUUGCUACUUCAUGCGCGUCGUGGUCCUCCUCAAUCCAACUAACCGAUUCACCCAAGUCUAAAACAUCGAAUGGGAAACACAUCCCACUUAUAAUGAAAUCCAUCUGAAAACUCUGAAAUCUCAACUUGCUUGUCCUCCACACAGAUAGACUAAAUGAGAGAAAUGACACUUAAGGUUUAUUAAUAUAUUAUAAGUUCUAAUAUAUUAAUAGUAUUAUUUAAUUGGUAUUGAUGAAGAAUUAAUUUGGUGAUUAAAAGGAGACUAAUUAAAUAUAUGGGGUUGAUUGUGUAAAUCAUCCAUUCUUUUAUAGUGGGCUAAUGAUCCAUGGUUUAUUGGAUUGGGCUAAAACCCAUAAUAUGCUCCAUGGAUAGUCCAUUGAGGUUAUAAACCCAUGGAUCAUGGAAUAUGAAAGGCCAUGUCAAUUAGGGUUUACAUGUUGUAACCCUACUUAUGAUACAACUAUAAAAGGACCACAUGUCUACCAAAAUUGGACUACUAAGAAAGAACAAGAGGGCUAGUCGAUUUUGAGUGUUAUUGAACUUCUCUCAGGGUUAUUCCAAGAGUUGUGGUGUUGUGUGAAACAUUUGAGGCAUCACAUUUGAGGUGCUAGACUCUCAAGGUUCUCAAGGAAUCCAAGCAACAAGAAACAUAUGUUCUCCUACUAGCUUUUAUGUUUCAUAUUUCCCCAUGCCAUGCUGAGGGCCAAUGUUGAGGGCCAAAUCACGGUCUUACAUACAAGUGCCAGGGACCAGAUCCUGGUCUUUCAUACAAAUUCCAAGGGGCAAAUCCUGGUCUUUCAUGCAAGCAUCACAAAGACUACUAGAAUUCUACAUAACAAGUAAUGGGUAAGCAUUGGUGCCUUUAGCCCAUGAAUAUUAUGAGAAAACUCAUCUCACAAACAGAUAAGCAAAUUGAAUAACACGCCGCUCCGAGAUCAACUCUACCAAUCACCUAAAUUAAUUCCAGUACACAAUCUCAACAUAUGGGUCAAAAUACCUACAAUACCCCUAGGUCAAACCCUAGUAAAAAUCCAAGUCAAAUUCAACUGAGUCAACCGAGUUGACUCGGUGAGUACGCGGGGCGUACUCCUUACGUAUGUGGGGAGUACUGCAUGGUUGACCAGAGUUAGGGAGCUGACCACAUACGCGCAGCGUACCCCUUGGUACGCCCAGCGUACGCGACUGCUCUCCACUUAAGCCAUUAAGUGCUUAAUCCUUAAGCACUUAUGUCUAAAAUCCAGAUAUAGGCUCAAAAAGAUAUCCUUAACCAUAAAGUUUCUAACUUUAUGGUUUAGCAUGGCUAUUAAGACCUUAGCUCCAAGAAACAUAACUUCUUUACCCAUUAAGACAAACUAGCUAAUGAAUGACAAUGAAACUAGUGACCAAGAACACAUUUUUACGAGUUAUCACACUCUAAAACCUCUGAAAGGACUACUCCAAAUGUCUUGGAGUAUCUCCUACUCCCAAGAUCAAGUUUGGAACAAAAAGGUGACAACUUUGAGCUAAAACUAGAUCCAUAAGAAGCAUACACCAAGAUUGAAGCUUUUUACCUUCACAAUAUGCACAAUAAAGAGAAAAUGUUGGAUCCAAAGUCUUGAGUGAAACACCAUAACCUCAAGGUUCUUCCUUCUACACCAAAGGCUCCAAAAUGACACCAAAAAGGUCUCUUCAAGCUUCACAAUGCACUCAUACACUUUAUGGUUUCGAAAUGAGGAAUGGGGCUGAAGAUAAAAAGGUGCAUAAGGCUAUAGAGGUGGUUAAAAAGGGUCCAAAACCUAAAAAUUAGGGUUUACACCUUGGCUCAUAUGCCCUGCUCACUAGCGUACGCUCAACAUACUAUCACGUAACCAGGUACGCCCUACAUACCAAGGUGUAUGCCUAAUGUACCACGUUGUAACCGAGAAUUACAAAAAUGUCAUUAGGGACCAAUCUUGUAAAUAAAUCUCAACUCAAGGGUCAAAAUGAAUACCUAGAAAUUAGAUGUUACAAAUAUACUACAUUUCCAAUACAACAUUUUCAAUUCAUUGAAAUUAUUAAUUAUCAUACGUGCUAUGUAUGUGAUUAUAUGUAUAUUAUUUCUUUCUAACUUUAGUGUGUGGUUGAUUUUAACAAUUCAUUGAAAAGGUUAACAUCGUUGUUUAUAACCCAAUAUUUGAUAAGUAUGUCAAUAUGAAUCAACCACACAUUAAAGUUAGAAGGAAAUAAUAUGCAUAUUUACAUUCCACAUAUGAUAAUUAAUAAUUUCAAUGAAUUGAUAUAAAAAGUGUUGUAUUAAAAAUGUAGUAUAUUGAUAAUGAUCCAAACAAGUAAUAAGAAAGAACAACUACACGUAGUAGUCAAAUACACACACACACAAAAAAAAAAAAAAAACCGAAACAAUAGCUUUUUGGCUGAAACAGUAGACAAUUUUGGUCUACGGUUUGGGAAACAAUAGACCAUCGAGAGGAAACCAUAGACCAUAAAAUGGUCUAUGGUUUUGUUUUGCAAAAAUGUUUUUUUUCCUUAUAUACAUAUGCGACAGAGUAGACCAUUUCGGCGAAAGAGUAGUCCAUUUCAUUAGCCUACGAUUUUGAUGGCUAGUUUGGGAUAAAUGCUAAUUUUUUACUAAAAACUAUCAUGUAAUUAAAGGGUUUGGCUAGUUUUAUCAUUUUCUCAAAAGGGUAAUUUAUUUUUUGAUUUGUACAUAUUUAGUCAUCGAGUUUUUUGUCGAUAUUUUCUCAUUGAAUUUGUUUAACUAUUCAAAAAAUCAUCCUUAUAACCUGAUAUAACAUGUUUUCUGACAUAUUUGGCAGUUUCCAACGAUCUUUCCAGCUCCAAUCAUCUUCUCCAUCGAGUCUCCGACCAACAUGAUUUUUCUGACGACAUUGUUCUUCAUAUCCUAAUUUUCAAAACGUUGUUCUUUCUUCUUCUUCUUUUUUUUUUUUUUUUAAUUUUUAUUUUUAUUUUUAAUCUUCAAUCUAAAUUAGAAAUCAAGUUGAAGCACAAAUUUGGUUUAUAGAUUUAAACACACAAACUCACUUUUGAAGAACACAUGAACACAUAUAAAAACUCACGGGAUGUGUGUAUGUGUGUGUGUUAGAUCAUAAUACAAACCAAUAUCUGCAUGUGUGUAUGAUUACGUUUUUUUGUUAGAUCUGUCGUGGAUGAUUUGUUCAGAUUCAAAAACCUUUGAUAUCCUUUCUUUAAAUUAAGUGUGCUCUUAAAAAAUCGAACGUUAAAUUGUUUCUAGGAUUUUAUUCUUCAAAAAACCAAAGUUUUUCUCAAGAAAUCGUUUUGCUUAAGAACACAAUGACCGGAGGUUGAAGACGAAGAACAAUGAUCGGAGCAUCGUCGGAGCUGUCAAAUAUGUCAGAAACCGUCUAAAUCUCUGAUAGCAGGUCAUAAGGAUGUUUUUUGAACAGUUCAACAAGUUCAAUAGGAAAAUAUGAAAAAAAAAACUCAGUGACUAAAUGUUUUCAAAUAAAAAAUAUAUACUACACUUUUAAGUCAUUAUCCCUUUAUAAUAUUUUGAUAUCCCUCAAGUAAAUGAUCAUUUUGUAGAGGGAUAAUGACUUAAAAGGGUAAUAUAUUUUUCAAUUUGUACACAUUUGGUCACUAAUUUUUUUUUUGUCUACAUUACCCAUUCAAAUUGUUAAAUUGUACACAUUCAGUCCUUAUUACCGGCUACUCCAUGUUAGCCGGUAAAAAUGAUUUAAAUGUGUAAUAUAUUUCUUACAUUGUACACAUUUAGUUAUUAAUAUUUUUAUACACAUUUAGUCUUUAAUAUUUAUUUUUUGUGCAAAAUAAGUCAAUUUUGUUUUUGUACCCAUUCAGUACUAAUAAAUGAUUUCUUAAGGUUUUUCUCAUGUCAUCUUACGUGAGACAAUCAUUAAUGAGGUGUUUGAGACUUUUGAUGCUUAUGUCCAUUGUGAUCUCGACUACUUGGUGGCUUAGGUCAUGUGUUCUGAACGUCAUGGCUUCUUCAUACAAUCUCGGAUUUUAAUGAUCUUUAUAUUCAUGCGUUCAUAUUUUAGUUUACUACAACUUUCAUUUAAAUUACUCCCGUUAAAAGAUAAUAUAUUUUUACUAAUGAUCUUUAUAUUAUAUGUUUUUAUGAAUACAUGUAUGAAUGUUUUUUUAAAUCGUAAAUAAAAAUAUAUUACAUUUUAAUGUGAGUAAUCUUAAUGAAAGUUGUAGUAGACUCAAAAAACAAACACGUAGAUAUAAAGAUCAUUAAAAUUUGAUAUCGUAUGAAGAAGUUACGACGUUCAGAACACAUAACCUAAGCCAAACCACAAUACCUACAUAACCAAACAAUUGAGAUAACGAUGAACAUAAGCAUCAACAGCCUCAAAAACCUCAUCAAUGAUUGUCCCGCGUAAGAUGUCGUGAGAAAAACCUGAAGAAUUCAUUCAUAAGUACUGAAUGAGUACAAAAACAAAAAUGACUUAUUUUGAAAUAAAAAAAAUAAUUAAAUAUUAAAGACUAAAUGUGUACAAAAAUAUUAAGGACUAAAUGUAUACAAAAUGAGAAAUAUAUUACUCUUUCAGUCAUUUUUUCCCGGCUAAUCAGGAUUAGCCGGGAAAAAACUCGAUGACCAAAUAUAUUAUGUUGUCCCUCGGUAAAAAGUCCUAAUAUAAGGAUUGAAUGUGUACAGUUUAACAAGUUGAAGGGGUAAAUAUAGACGAAAAAAACUCGAUGACCAAAUAUAUUAGGUUGUCCCUCGGUAAAAAGUCCUAAAAAGCAUGGCUAUUUUUUCAUUUUCUAGUUGAAAAUGUUUGUAUGUAUGUAUCAACGUUAACAAAGUUGGUAAUAGAAAAUUUCUUUUGAAAAUGACUUUUGCAUAAAAGAAAAUAAAAGUUUUCAAAAAAUUAUAAAAACCUGACUUUUUAUGACUUUACAUGUAAAUAUUAACACAAUUUUUUUUUUUUGCUAAUCCAAACACAACGAUCUCUUCUCACAAAAAAAAGUUCUUUUAAUAUAUUAAAGGGAAAAUUACUUGUUAAGGUAACUAACUAUUUCAAUUGUCCAUAUAUAGGUAAUGUUCUUUUUUUGUACACAUUAAGGUAACUAACUGGUUUUGUUUGUUCACAUUUAGGUAAUAUGACCGACUAUCACCUGUUUUUGCUUAUGUGGCAUCUACCUGGAAUAUGACUUGAAUACGUUGCACCUACGUGGCAUGGUGCAUAUAUGGGAAAAUGACUUAUUAAGGUAACUAACUAUUUCAGUUGUCCAUAUAUAGGUAGUGUUCUUUUUUUUUGUACACAUUAAGGUAACUAACUUAUUCUGUUUGUUCACAUUUAGGUAAUAUGACCGGCUAUCAACUGUUUUUGCUUAUGUGGCAUCCAUCUGGCAUAUGACUUGAAUACGUUGCACCUACAUGGCAUCCAACUGGCAUAUGACUUGUUUUGGUUCUUCUUCCUCAUCUUAUUCUUCAAAACGACAAGAUGAAUUUCAAGCUGAUCAUCCAUGUGAUUGUGGCUUACCAUCUCGUGUGAAGAUUUCAAGAACUCCUGACAACCCAGGAAGAAAAUUUAGAGUUUGUCAAAACUCGAUUGUAAAUCAAUAUUGUUGAAUAUGUUGCAGGCGUUCUUGAAAUCUUCACACGAGAUGGUAAACCGCAAUCACAUGGAUGAUCAGCUUGAAAUUCAUCUUAUCAUUUUGAAGAAUAAGAUGAGGAAGAAGAAGUCAUCGUCGAUCGAUCUAGGGUUUAGAAUUAGGGGUGGAAUCGUAUGACACAGUUAUAGUGUAAUCGAAUGAAGACAAUAUAUGCACCAUGCCACGUAGGUACAACGUAUUCAAGUCAUAUGCCAGGUGGAUGCCACAUAAGCAAAAACAGUUGAUAGCCGGUCAUAUUACCUAAAUGUGAACAAACAGAACAAGUUAGUUACCUUAAUGUGUACAAAAAAAAGAAUAUUACCUAUAUAUGGACAACUGAAAUAGUUAGUUACCUUAAUAAGUCAUUUUCCCAUAUAUGCACCAUGCCACGUAGGUGCAACGUAUUCAAGUCAUAUGCCAGGUGGAUGCCACAUAAGCAAAAACAGAUAAUAGCCGGUCAUAUUACCUAAAUGUGAACAAACAAAACAAGCUAGUUACCUUAAUGUGUAAAAAAAAAAAAACAUUACCUAUAUAUGAACAAUUGAAAUAGUUAGUUAGCUUAAAAGUUCUAAUGCCAAACUCAAACUUAAAAACCAGAGCGCCUGGUUGGUGAGAUCCAAGAAAUCCCAACUCUCAAUUUCAAACUUAAAAACCACAAACGUUCGAAGCAAGAAGACUAUGAUGCAGUUUGGAUACCUUCUUUAGUAGGACCCGAAUGAGAUCUACAAUCGAAUUCUAGAAAGUAAACAAGUCUCUGCGUUCUAUCAAAGCCUUUUCCUUUAUCAAAUUUGUCCACUUUUCUAACCACCAUAAUUCAAGAACUCAAAGGACGUCUUCAGGAUUCUUCAACCGAAAGAUCUUUCACUUCCACAUCUUCGAAUUGUUCAU
rnacentral:lncRNA from 1 species